CUUGUACACACCGCCCGUCACACCAUGAGAGUUUGUAACACCCAAAGCCGGUGAGAUAACCUUCGGGAGUCAGCCGUCUAAGGUGGGACAGAUGAUUAGGGUGAAGUCGUAACAAGGUAGCCGUAGGAGAACCUGCGGCUGGAUCACCUCCUUUCUAAGGAAUAUACGGAGGCUACACAUACUUGUUGAAACUUUGUUUAGUUUUGAG
rnacentral:misc_RNA from 1 species